GACGAACGCUGGCGGCGUGCCUAACACAUGCAAGUCGAGGGGCAUCAGGAAGAAAGCUUGCUUUCUUUGCUGGCGACCGGCGCACGGGUGAGUAACACGUAUCCAACCUGCCCUUUACUCGGGGAUAGCCUUUCGAAAGAAAGAUUAAUACCCGAUGGCAUAAUGAUUCCGCAUGGUUCCAUGAUUAAAGGUAUUCCGGUAGACGAUGGGGAUGCGUUCCAUUAGAUAGUAGGCGGGGUAACGGCCCACCUAGUCUUCGAUGGAUAGGGGUUCUGAGAGGAAGGUCCCCCACAUUGGAACUGAGACACGGUCCAA
rnacentral:rRNA from 1 species